rnacentral:rRNA from 1 species
AUUGAACGCUGGCGGCAGGCCUAACACAUGCAAGUCGAGCGGAGGGGCGGAGGGGUGAGUGUUGCCUAGGAAUCUGCCCGGUACUGGUGGAUAACGUACGGAAACGGGCGCUAAAGCCGCAUACUCUCGGCUGAGCCUAGGUCGUGUUAGCUUGUGGGUGGGGUAAAGGCCUACCAAGGCGACGAUCCCUAACUGGUCUGAUAGGAUGAGCAGUCACACUGGAAUUGAGACACGGUCCAGACUCCUACGGGAGGCAGCAGUGGGGAAUAUUGGACAAUGGGAGAAAGCCUGAUUCAGCCAUGCCGCGUGUGUGAAGAAGGGCUUCGGAUUGUAAAGCACUUUAAGUUGGGAGGCGUUACCAACAGAAUAAGCACCGGCUAACUUCGUGCCAGCAGCCGCGGUAAUAC